GUGGGCCUCGGUCGGGUUAUCGGUCUCUCGACUAGCUCUUCGCGGAAAUAUCAUUGUCUCGGUCGAGACAGCUUGCGAGCGUGCACGCACGGUACGCUGACAGGCUAUGAAGUUGGCAGUCUUCUUGACCCUCGUGUUUGCUACGGCUGUUGCAGCACUCGGUAAUUUUGAAACCAAGUGCAAGCCAGCAGCUGAUCGUGGGCCCUGCAGUGGACGCAUUCCACUGUGGGCUUUCAACGUCACAAAAGGCCGAUGUCAGCGAUUCUACUUCGGAGGCUGUGACGGGAACGAGAAUAAACACUACACGAGGAGACAGUGCGAAUUGACCUGCGUUUCUCUCUGAUGCUUCAGGAAAUGGCGGAGGACCGCAAGAGAUACGCGAGUACAGCAACGAUCUUUUACCCGUUCCUGAAGUGCCCAACCUUAUGUGGUCUGUGCUCACUAACCCGGCUUGCCUGCUACCACCCGAUCGAGGCAUGUGCGCCGGCUAUCUCUAUCGCUUUUUCUACGACGCCACCUUCAGAACGUGUCAAGGUUUCGUCUACGGUGGCUGUGGCGGCAAUGCAAAUAACUUCGCCGGCCUCGACCAGUGUUACGAAGCUUGCAGUCCGAGGCAACGUCUGCUACCACAAACAUAAUGCCACCAGACUCAUUCCCAACGAUGCAUUUUUAAUGUUUGAUGGAACUGCUUGUAAGUGGAAUAAAGUACCCGUCAUUUUAGGAACAUACCUCAUC